GGUUCAGGAUAAACGCUGGCGGCGCACAUAAGACAUGCAAGUCGAACGGACUUAAUCAUUUGUUUACAAAAUGAAGCGGUUAGUGGCGGACUGGUGAGUAACGCGUGAGCAACCUGCCUAUUAGAGGGGAAUAACAGUGAGAAAUCACUGCUAAUACCGCAUAAGCUGAUAGUAUCGCAUGAUACAGUCAGAAAAGGAGCAAUCCGCUAAUAGAUGGGCUCGCGUCUGAUUAGCUAGUUGGUGAGGUAACGGCUUACCAAGGCGAUGAUCAGUAGCCGAGCUGAGAGGCUCAACGGCCACAUUGGGACUGAGAUACGGCCCAGACUCCUACGGGAGGCAGCAGUCGGGAAUAUUGCGCAAUGGAGGAAACUCUGACGCAAGUGACGCCGCGUGCAGGAAGAAGGUUUUCGGAUUGUAAACUGCUUUAGACAGGGAAGAAACAAGACAGUACCUGUAGAAUAAGCACCGGCUAACUAUGUGCCAGCAGCUGC
rnacentral:rRNA from 1 species